UACGUAGGGGGCUAGCGUUGUCCGGAAUCAUUGGGCGUAAAGAGCGUGUAGGCGGCCCGGUAAGUCCGCUGUGAAAGUCGGGGGCUCAACCCUCGAAUGCCGGUGGAUACUGUCGGGCUAGAGUGCGGAAGAGGCGAGUGGAAUUCCUGGUGUAGCGGUGAAAUGCGCAGAUAUCAGGAGGAACACCAGUGGCGAAGGCGCCACUCUGGGCCGUAACUGACGCUGAGGAGCGAAAGCGUGGGUAGCAAACAGG
rnacentral:rRNA from 1 species